UGUAAAGUAGAACAGCAGGUGGAGGGGACCCUGCAGGGAAGCCACUGAGCGCCAGACAGCAGGGCGCGUCCACGGGCGCGCGCACUGCCGGGAGGGGCCGGCAUCAGUCACCAUCCCAGUCGGGCAGCUUCAGGCUGGAAAGCUGUGUCAGGGCGAGAGACAUUUUAUUCCUAGUGGUGAGGAGCCCUGUGGCGGCCAGGCCGUACUGGCCUUGGCGUCACUGAGGUGAAUCCGGGCUACUGGGGAGCGCUGGGGACCUGUGCUUCCCUGAACUUGGUCUUUGAGCUGAGAGGGAAAGGUAACACAGGCUGGAGGUAAGAUGCUGAUGAUUUGUUUCUCUGAGAUCCAAAUGCUGAGCAAAGGAAAGCAGGUAGCAAAAGCUCAGACAGGCAUCAUGGGGGCGUCUCCAGAAAGGGCUGGGAACGUCUGGAAGCAAGCAUUCCCCACUAUCUCGUGCACCCUGUCAGCUUCCCUGACAGAGUGGGGCCUGGCAGAGGCUCAUCCGCGUGACAGGUGACUCGCCCACAGCUGUGUUUGCCUGGGGCCUGAUGUGGCGUCUUCUCAUCCAGUGUGGCCCUCUGUGGGGAUCAAGACGGCUGGCAGCGUUAAACAGAAAAAGGUGCUCUGCUUUGGCUGAGCCACUGCCUCUUUCCUGAAGAGGAGCCGCCCACCCUCGCUCCAGCGUGUAGCUAAACUCCCGGGAGACUGGGCGCGAAGGGCACACUGUGACACACCCAUCCUUGUCACAGCUGCGCCUGCCGGGCCGUGAUGAGUGAAGUGCUGUGGCCAGGUCUGCUGGGUACACAGCUGCUGCUCCCCACUGACUCCCUUGACCCCCAAAUCCUGGGGCCUCAGAGAACCUUCGGCCUCUGCUCCAGCUGCUGUCACCAGAGCAGAGCAGGCUCAGCCUUGUCCCAGGAAUGUGAUGCAGAAGGAAUGUGAUGCUCUCUGGGUAAAACGAGGUAUGGGACUGACUAGCCCCACAGCACCCAACCACCGGGCUCAGCUGCGGAGGCUCGUGUCGGCCCUGGGGCUCGAGGCUCCCCCUGGGGUCCCUUCCCCCGCAAUCCGUGGAUGCCAGCUGCAGUGCCCAUGUUUCCAGCCAUCCCAGCUCGACAUGGAGCUCCCUGGACAUAGCAGCUGGCUGGGGGUCCAGAGGGUCCUGCCCUCUCCCAGCAUCCCCAGUCCUCAUUGGAGCAGCCUUCUUCCAAGGUGCAGAAUCAAGCGUCCUGCAUCUGCCAUGAGGAAGACUGACGGUGGCUGUGCUGGGGGUUCCUAGGAAAGAACAGCCAAGCCCUGGGGCCAGCCGGGCAGGGGGCUGGAAAACCCUGCUGACAUUGCAUCUGUCUCCCGAGCUGUCUCGGGGCCAGUCCUGUCUCCACAGGCUGCAUUCCGACUCCUGUCACAGUGAGGAGAGGUUUCCUGUGUGUGGCACUUCCUAGCUGGACAGCUGAGACCAGCACAGAGGCAUCAGGGAGCCGGAUGGGGAGUGAACGGCGCUGGUGGGACCCAUGAACGUCUGCGGGCCUACGCUCUGUGCAGGUGCUGAGGUGGGCGCAGGGGCUGCUUCUGUGUCCAGGGACUUGUGCUCAGUGACCGAGCAUAACAGGAGAGGCCUUCAGGGCAGGACAGACCUGCAGAUGCUCUGGGUGAUGGGGAGGACUUCUGAGCGGCUCUCCUCCCGUCCCUGGGUCCAGCAGUCACCUGCAUCGCUGCACCCGGCUGUGGUCACAGGAAACCGAAUCACUGCUCCUGGAGACCAAAGGCUUUCAUGGGAAAUGAGAUCCUGCCAGCCUUGGUUCUCAGGCGAACCCACAGAACAGUUAGUAUUUACUGUCUGAAUCCACGACUCCCUGAGUCUUCAUCCAUGCACCCAGAAGUGCUGGCCUUCAAGCGUGGCUUUGCCCUCGCUGAACCCUAAAGGGCAGCAGGGCGCAGGCACCUCCACACCCACCCAGGGCUGGGAGUCUCUGUGUGGCACAGUGGCCAGGGCAGGUGUGGCUGUGGGCCUGUGGAAAUGAAGGGACCCCUUUCCCAGUCUGAAGAAGGUUGGUUCAGAGCCCAGUUUUCAAAAGCCCCUUUUUCUCCGGAGUAAGAACACUUCUUUUCCUCAUGGCCCUGUGCCAUCUCCCAGGACUUGGCAAGCCCAGGCCUCCCGUGCCAGGAGAGUGUGUGGCUGAGUCCCAGGACCAACACCACUGAUGGAGCCAGUGGGUCACAGCCACCCUGGAGGCUCAAGGACGCCGGCCACUGAGUGAGCCCAGCUGGCCAACAGGAAGGGGCUAUCAUGCACCCUUUGAUAAAACCUGGCCCGGUCCCUGACCAGCUGACACCCUGCUCGGACCCGGGUGUGUCCUUAGGCUCCAGCAGUGAUGCAGACACAUAAACCACCACAAACCUCCCGGUGUUGCUUGCUGACCAAACACGUGCACUAUCGUAGGGGGCAGAGUUAUUAUUAUAAUUAUUCUUACUGAGGUCCUGCGUCCUGCUCUGUUUUGACUUAUCGGGAAGACUUUUUACACUUGAUCUUAGCCAAAAGGCUGAGAAGCGAUUUUUUUUGUGUGCUUUUUUUUUUUUUUUUUUUUGGUACUGGGGAUCAAACUUGGGACCUUGUCCUUGCAAGGCAGGUGCCAGAACCACUGAGCUAAAUCCCCGGCCCGGGAAGACUUUUUAAUGUUCAUGUUAAGAUUUCCCUACUUUCUUCAUCGUAGUUCACAAUACUGAAGACACAGAAGCAACCUAGGCGCCCAUGAAUGGAGGAGCAGGUAAAGAGGAUACGUACACACACACACACACACACACACGGAGGAGUAUCAUACAGCCCUGAAAAAGAAGGCAGUGCUCUCAUCAGCAACCGCAUGGACUGAACUGUUGGGCGUUACACUAAGUGAAGUCAGCCAGGAGCAGAAAGACAAAUACUGUGGACCCUUGACUUACAAACUCAAUUUGUUCCCGAGGACUGGUUGUGACUCAAGUUCAUCGGUGAAGCCUCAGGCUCCUCUACACAGCCUUCAGAGUCUGUCUCCUGGCAGAUCCCAGUGUCCUUAGAGAGACACUGGGCCAGGAUUUCUCAACCCCACACAGGUGAGGACGGGUGCCGUGGAGCCCCUGAAAGCUCUGCUCUGUCGGUGAAUUGUGCAGCCCAGCUCAGCGUCUUCGCAGGCUCUGCCUCUGGGAGGUAAUGAAAAUUGGACCAUUCUUCGCACUCAGGAACACAUUUUCCUUCAGUCAUCAGAAGGUGAGAUUCAUUUAAGUCAUCAGAGACUGGAGGCGGUGCCAUUAUAUCUUCAAAUCUGCAAGUUAGUCAGCUGGGGUGGCCUCCUCCUGAUUAUGUGUGUCUCUAAUCCACUGUCAUCAUCUUGGAAAACCAGGUUGAGUCUUUUGAGGGCAGCAGCCAGAGGAGCAAAGAGAAAACCAAAAGACUCAGGAAAAACAUAUAUGGAUUCACCCUGAAGAACCAAUGAGUCUGAGUUUUAUUUUUUCCCUAGCUAAUUCCUGUGGGGCAGAACUGAGGAAUAUUAGGUAUGAGGGCUUUUCUUUGGUACUGGGGAUUGAACUCGGGACCCUGCACUUGCCAGGCAGGCUCAGCGCCACUGAGCUACAUCCCGGCCCAGAACGGAGGAGUAUUAAUGGGAUGAGUAACAAGUAGGUUAGCAGCAAACGCCUUUCUGGAAUUACCCUCAAGCCUAGACAGUGUGUUUGUCCGUCUUUGGGUACGAUGCUCACGACAGCACAGAC
ensembl:lncRNA